rnacentral:rRNA from 1 species
UCGGGAAUAUUGCGCAAUGGAGGAAACUCUGACGCAGUGACGCCGCGUGCAGGAAGAAGGUUUUCGGAUUGUAAACUGCUUUAGACAGGGAAGAUAAUGACAGUACCUGUAGAAUAAGCUCCGGCUAACUACGUGCC